rnacentral:tRNA from 1 species
GCUGUGGCUGGGGCUCAGUGGCAGAGCACUUGCCUAGCAAGCGUGAGGCCUUGGGUUCAACCCUCAGCACCGCA